GACGAACGCUGGCGGCGUGCUUAACACAUGCAAGUCGAACGGAAAGGCCCUUCGGGGUACUCGAGUGGCGAACGGGUGAGUAACACGUGGGUGAUCUGCCCUGCACUUUGGGAUAAGCCUGGGAAACUGGGUCUAAUACCGAAUAGGACCACGCGCUUCAUGGUGUGUGGUGGAAAGCUUUUGCGGUGUGGGAUGGGCCCGCGGCCUAUCAGCUUGUUGGUGGGGUAAUGGCCUACCAAGGCGACGACGGGUAGCCGGCCUGAGAGGGUGACCGGCCACACUGGGACUGAGAUACGGCCCAGACUCCAACGGGAGGCAGCAGUGGGGAAUAUUGCACAAUGGGCGCAAGCCUGAUGCAGCGACGCCGCGGGAGGGAUGACGGCCUUCGGGUUGUAAACCUCUUUCAAUAGGGACGAAGCGCAAGUGACGGUACCUAUAGAAGAAGCACCGGCCAACUACGUG
rnacentral:rRNA from 1 species